CAUGGCACGGCCUCUUGACGUGAUAAUGAUCGUCGUGGGCUGGAAGUGUAGUGUCUGGCUUCUAAUCCGAUUGUGUGCAUACGGCCCUUAAAGCUGGAAGCGCAAUCAAAACCGACUACGUGCAUACGGCCCAUAAAGCUGGAAGCGUAAUCAAAAUGACCUUUGACCUCAAAUCAGGUAGGACUACCCGCUGAACUUAA
rnacentral:misc_RNA from 1 species